rnacentral:rRNA from 1 species
AGUAGUUUGAUCAUGGCUCAGAACGAACGCUGGCGGCAUGCCUAACACAUGCAAGUCGAACGGGAUCCUAGCUUGCUAGGUGAGAGUGGCGGACGGGUGAGUAACACGUGGGAAUCUGCCUUUUGGUUCGGGAUAACCGCGGGAAACUGCGGCUAAUACCGAAUGCCCUCGAGAGAGGAAAGAUUUAUCGCCAGAAGAGGAGCCCGCGUCCGAUUAGGUAGUUGGUGGGGUAAAGGCCUACCAAGCCGACGAUCGGUAGCUGGUCUGAGAGGAUGAUCAGCCACACUGGGACUGAGAUACGGCCCAGACUCCUACGGGAGGCAGCAGGUGGGGAAUUAUUGGACAAUGGGGGCAACCCUGAUCCAGCAAUGCCGCGUGAGUGAUGAAGGCCUUAGGGUUGUAAAGCUCUUUUGCCAGGGAAGAUGAUGACUGUACCUGGAGAAUAAGCCCCGGCUAACUUCGUG